ensembl:snRNA U1 U1 spliceosomal RNA
ACACUUACCUAGCAGGGGGAAUACCAUGAUGAUGCUGAUGGUUUCCCCUAGGCUAAGCUUGUCCAUUGCACUAGAGACGUGCUGAGUACUGUGAUUUCCUCAAAUAUGAGAAAAAACACUGCAUAAUUUGUGAAAAUGGGGAACUGCAUUUGCCCUCUCCCAU